rnacentral:rRNA from 1 species
UAGGGGGCAAGCGUUAUCCGGAUUUACUGGGUGUAAAGGGAGCGUAGACGGAUCUGCAAGUCUGGAGUGAAAGCCCGGGGCUCAACCCCGGGAUUGCUUUGGAAACUGUAGAUCUGGAGUGCCGGAGAGGUAAGCGGAAUUCCUAGUGUAGCGGUGAAAUGCGUAGAUAUUAGGAGGAACACCAGUGGCGAAGGCGGCUUACUGGACGGUAACUGACGUUGAGGCUCGAAAGCGUGGGGAGC